CCCUUCUGGUCACCUGGGGAGCACAGGUGCAACCAAUCUGCCUGCAUUCCCUGGGACAGCCUCACCCCUUCACCAGAACACAAAGGACACCAACCAAGAAUAAACGCAGAAAUUAACCUACCCAGAAAAGCAAAGCAAGACUAGUAUGCAGAAACACCAUUUUAAAUAUUCCAGAAAUUAAUUAAAAGGUGAAGAAAAUAAGCAGCAGAGGAAAUACUUAAAUUUUUAUCUUCCUCCUGAAAGCUGAGCAGCAUAACUAUUUGAUACAGAUGGAAUAACUACAUCACUUUUCCCCUGAGAAACAACUAAACCUCCAGGAACUCUUCAAUAAAGAAGGUAGAUUAGAGCAGCGAUAUGGAGAAGCCACUUAGUCUACAUGAACGUUUUGAUCUACCUGCAGAAACACAAGAGCAGAGAGGUGAGCUGAGCAGGAUCCUGGGAGAUGCAGCAUCCCCAGCUAAGACACCACAGCUUUAAAUGGGCAUGGCUUCUCACAGCAUUGCAGGAGUGUUGCAUACUGAUGUCUCUUCAUAGCCCCUUGCCACGAGGAACUGUGAUAUCCUUUCAGAGACAAUAAAGGGUUAUAACUUCAGCAGAAAUCAGCUAUGUGCCCACAGCUUUAUUUUCCUGUCUUCCCCCACUGGUAUCCUACACAAACAGUUUAAUUAAUUUACACAAAGGGAUGGUGUGAAGUCAGACCACUGUGUUCCGUAUUCCAGAAUAACUAGCAGGCAUUGUCUGCAAGUAUCCCUUAGCUGGAAAAUACUAUUAAUUGGCACCAACUGUUCAAACAUAAUUACAGCCACAACACCCAUCAGUUGACUCGCUUGUUUUUCACAUCUGCAAAGCAAUAACUGCCCUGACACAGGCAGCAAACUCUUUCCUGUGAAUUCUGCUAUCAGACAGAAGGCAAACAGCACUACUGCCCCAUCCCCUGUGGCUAAUGUGGAAAGUUCCACCCACAGACCGUUUUGUUUUCACAAUCUUGAGCCUGUGAUGUGCAGCAAGGAUCUGCCUGCUUUGAAUCCCUGACUCAUUUCCAUCUCACACUCAGCUCAGAUUAAGCCCUCCGAGGACAACCCACGUGCUCUUGCUCUACAAUCCAAAGCACAAAGAUGAGGUGUAGCUUCUCCCCAUUACCAUCUCUGUGUUUCUUUUGCUGAUUAUUUGCCCUCUUCUCCAAGGACAAGAAGAAAAUCAAGCCAGCCUAAAGCCCCGUAACAGGGGAGUUUUUAACUGCUUUCACUCAAACAUAAAAGGUAAACUUCAGGUUUGAUUCACCUGGAAUAAAACGGCCACUUCUUACUCACCACCACGGCCUGAACUGCCCCAAAUUUCUGAAAAUUUCUGCUUUUCUUGCUCAUUUAGAGAGUCAUCUCAUGUUAAGUGACAACUCUUAGGUACUAAGGCGGACAUUCCCAACAACCAAUGGCAAUGGGUGCCACGGCACGGCGCUGACCCAAACCUAUUAGAUCCAACGUAUGCUCAGCACGUAGGAAAGUGGACCAAGAAAGAGCAAUCAACCACUGUGGGAACACCCAAGAAAACACUUUCUCAACAGCCUUCCUGUAUUGAAAAGAAACCAAUUCUCCUUGCAAGUCACUCGCAGAAAAUUUUAAUAUUUUGCCAAAUAUACAGCUAUUAGAAUUACCCUAAGUAUCAAUUAGAAUUAAAUUACAAAAGUUGGUAGAUAGCAUAGUACAAUAUUCUAUAAAAUAAAGACAUGUAAU